GGGAGGGCGGGGCGGCCGUGUGCCGGGCGCGCGUGUCCGACCCGUUCCCCGCCGCCGGCGACUUUGAACGUGGCAACGCGGGAGCGAGCGACGACCUCUCGCGAGGAUUCCAAAGUGUGUCUGGGAAUGUUUCCUGUCUCAUGCUAACAUAUAUUGCUGAAGGAGGAACCUGACCUAAGACAUAUAAAAUAUACAGUCCUGGACUGAUUGCAAAGCUGGCCCUUCUGCUUAACCCCAUGACUGUGUCAUAAUUAUCUCACAAUACCUCCAAACCAAGAUAAACUAUAUGAAAAUAUUAAGGUGUGACUGUCAUCUUCAGAUCUGACAAAUCAGCUCUGCAGAGAUAUCAUGAGUAUAGUCUGAAAGUUUUAGAUUUUAUGACAGCAGUUGUGUUUUAAUGUGGAUGCCAAAUGUGCAAACGCACACAAUAUAACACACACUUGGUCAUCAGUGUCACAAAUGUUUCAAUAUGCAUCAUUAAGACCCAUCUCCUCUAAGAUCCAUUAUGGCCUCACUAUCAUUAAGAUGCCAGUGCCUCCUACCGACUUUUUGUUCAAGACCCUAAAUAGUAGUCUCCAAGAGACUAGCAUCAGUAGAGAUGGUGAAGCAGUUUAACAGUUUUAAACCAGUGCUUUUUAAUAUUCUUGAAUAAUUUACAUAUCUGAAAAAACAAUUAAUUCCUCUGCA